rnacentral:rRNA from 1 species
GACGAACGCUGGCGGCGUGCUUAACACAUGCCAGUCGUACGGUAAGGCCCUUUCGGGGGUACACGAGUGGUGAACGGGUGAGUAACACGUGAGUAACCUGCCCACAACUUUGGGAUAACGCUAGGAAACUGGUGCUAAUACUGGAUAUGUGCUCCUGCUGCAUGGUGGGGGUUGGAAAGCUCCGGCGGUUGUGGAUGGACUCGCGGCCUAUCAGCUUGUUGGUGGGGUAGUGGCCUACCAAGGCGGCGACGGGUAGCCGGCCUGAGAGGGUGACCGGCCACAUUGGGACUGAGAUACGGCCCAGACUCCUACGGGAGGCAGCAGUGGGGAAUAUUGCACAAUGGGCGCAAGCCUGAUGCAGCAACGCCGCGUGCGGGAUGACGGCCUUCGGGUUGUAAACCGCUUUCAGCAGGGACGAAGCUUUUUGUGACGGUACCUGCAGAAGAAGCACCGGCUAACUACGUG